rnacentral:rRNA from 1 species
CCUACGGGUGGCAGCAGUGAGGAAUAUUGGUCAAUGGGCGCAAGCCUGAACCAGCCAAGUCGCGUGAGGUAAGACGGUCCUAUGGAUUGUAAACCUCUUUUGUCUGGGAGCAAAAGACGCCACGCGUGGCGUUCCGAGAGUACCCGAAGAACAAGCAGAGGCUAACACAGUGUCAGCAGCCGCGUUAAUACGGAGGAUGCGAGCGUUAGCCGGAUUUAUUGGGUUUAAAGGGUGCGCAGGCGGAAGAUCAAGUCAGCGGUAAAAUUGAGAGGCUCAACCUCUUCGAGCCGUUGAAACUGGUUGUCUUGAGUGAGUGAGAAGUAUGCGGAAUGCGUGGUGUAGCGGUGAAAUGCAUAGAUAGCACGAAGAACUCCGAUUGCGAAGGCAGCAUACCGGCGCUCAACUGACGCUCAGGCACGAAAGUGUGGGUAUCGAACAGGAUUAGAUACCCUAGUAGUC